CAGUCGCCGCGGUAAUACGUAGGGUGCGAGCGUUGUCCGGAAUUACUGGGCGUAAAGAGCUCGUAGGCGGUUUGUCGCGUCGUCUGUGAAAUUCUGCAGCUUAACUGUAGGCGUGCAGGCGAUACGGGCAGACUUGAGUACUACAGGGGAGACUGGAAUUCCUGGUGUAGCGGUGAAAUGCGCAGAUAUCAGGAGGAACACCGGUGGCGAAGGCGGGUCUCUGGGUAGUAACUGACGCUGAGGAGCGAAAGCGUGGGUAGCGAACAGGAUUAGAUACCCCUGUAGUCCCUGUCUCUUAUAC
rnacentral:rRNA from 1 species